CCAGCCCACACACGCCUCAUGCUGGGAGCUUUAGAUCCUGUCACUAUUGCGCGAUGCCAACCAGGAGCCUCGGGCCUCAGAGGCGCCCUGCCAAACCCAGUCCGGCCACAGGCAGGAUGGCUUGGGAAACUGCAGUGCCCUGGCUGGCUAACCCGAUUAGCAAAGGAUCAAAACCGGCAUUUGUUAAGUACGUAACCGGUACCAGAGCUUGUGCCAGAUGCUGAGAUGGCGAAGACAAGACAGAGGGCAGAGAGUGAGAAGAACCUGCCUUGGGUAGCUGCUGCCCCUUCAGCUGGAACCUCAAUACAUACAUGUGGGACAGUGUUAACCCUGUCAAACCUGGCCAGAUCAAUAGCUUGAAGAACUACGUCAGCCUAAAUGAGCCACUGCAGCCAAGCUGAGAUGCAUGUGAAAUAAAUGCUCAUUGCUAUGCCACUAAGAUUUUGCAGGUGCUUGUUAUGCAGCAGUAGCUGACUAAUAUAACCCUCUAUCUUUCCAACAUCAUGGCAGUCAGCAUUCUCGAUGAUAGAAAAGAGAAGAACAACAUCCCUCAGCUGUCCAUUGCAGCAGUCACUGGUCACAGGCCUUAUUGCAAGAAAAUCCAGAUCACACAUUACAGUUUCAACUCACGGUGGCCUCUCACUGUGCCCUGCACCACCAAACACAGCACUGCCACCAGGAGCAUUCUGGAGGCCAAUGUAUCUGUGAGAAGCCUCAAGUAAAUUCCAAGACUCUAUCUCCAUCAAUCUUUUAGUGCCCAUGGAAGUCCUGUCCAAAGAUGGGUGAGAUUAUGUCUGAACUGAGGAGAAAGAAUGGCAUUAUACCUUUCACAAAGUAUUGUAAAUGUUGCCUCCAACCCAUCCCAGGAUGAACACCUUUAUCAGAAUGCCACACCAGUGUUAUUCUCAUGCUCUUUCUAACUUUCAUGUUUCCA